CCUACGGGAGGCAGCAGUGAGGAAUAUUGGUCAAUGGGCGGGAGCCUGAACCAGCCAAGUCGCGUGAGGGAAGACGGUCCUAUGGAUUGUAAACCUCUUUAGGCGGGGAGCAAUGCCGGGCACGCGUGCCCGGAGGGAGAGUACCCGCAGAAUAAGCAUCGGCUAACUCCGUGCCAGCAGCCGCGGUAAUACGGAGGAUGCGAGCGUUAUCCGGAUUUAUUGGGUUUAAAGGGUGCGUAGGCGGAUUUUUAAGUCAGCGGUAAAAUGUCCGGGCUCAACCCCGUCCGGCCGUUGAAACUGGGUGCCUUGAGUGGGCGAGAAGAAGGCGGAAUGCGUGGUGUAGCGGUGAAAUGCAUAGAUAUCACGCAGAACCCCGAUUGCGAAGGCAGCAUACCGGUGCACAACUGACGCUCAGGCACGAAAGCGUGGGUAUCGAACAGGAUUAGAUACCCGAGUAGUC
rnacentral:rRNA from 1 species